rnacentral:piRNA from 1 species
AUUCAAGACAAGUGCCACCAUGGCCAACGUG